rnacentral:rRNA from 1 species
GGGCUCACACAAGCGGUGGAGCAUGUGGCUUAAUUCGAGGCUACGCGAAGAACCUUAUCCUGGACUUGACAUAUGCGAAAGCGCUGGGAGGUAGGACCCGGAAACGGGAACGAACGGUAUCCAAUCCGGAACCCAGUACAGGUGCUGCAUGGCUGUCGUCAGCUCGUGUCGUGAGAUGUCGGGUUAAGUCCCAUAACGAGCGAAACCCUUGCCCAUUAGUUGCCAGGUUAAUAGCCGACUCUAGGGGGACUGCCGGUGUUAAACCGGAGGAAGGUGGGGAUGACGUCAAGUCCUCAUGGCCUUUAUGUCCAGGGCUGCACACGUGCUACAAUGGCGUGAACAGAGGGACGCAAACGCGCGAGCGGGAGCAAAUCCCAAAAAACACGCCCCAGUUCAGAUCGUAGGCUGCAACUCGCCUGCGUGAAGUUGGAAUCGCUAGUAAUCGCGGGUCAGCAACACCGCGGUGAAUGUGUUCCUGAGCCUU